UGUCAAAAGCAUAUAGCCUAGACCCAGCCGGAAAACAUUCAGUCUGGUAAAACAGCUUGACUGCAGCAGAACACCCUUUCGGAAUUCAAAUUAAGUAAAGUUCUAAAUUCAAAAUUUAAAGUGAAACAACAGAGACUCUUCAACAUGUGGUUUCGUUCGGGAACACAACAGAACCUCGUACCUCGAGAGUCUUAGAUGGGAUGUAAUACAUCAUCCACUAAUACACUCUUGCCAUUGCCAGUCGAUGGCUGAUGGCAAUGGCAAUCGAAGUGUGGCUCUUCGUAAUCUGAAUCUCGCAGCAAAGGAACAGGACUCGACCAGGGAGGCGAGUCUAUGCACUGAUGGUACCCGUCCCGCCGGACGCGCAGUUUGCAUCGGUCGCUGUUCCUUUCACACACAUCUUUACAAAAAACGGAUAAACGUCUGACUACUUGCUAAAAAAAAAAAUACAAAACACUGAUAAUAAAGUGGUUUUUUUUCGUUAGAUAAA